GACGACGCUGGCGGCGUGCCUAACACAUGCAAGUCGAACGAGUGGCGGACGGGUGAGUAAUGGCUGGGAACCUGCCCGAUGUAGGGGGAUAACUAGUGGAAACGGUAGCUAAUACCGCUUACCAUCGGAUGUGCCCAGGUGGGAUGAGCGAGUAGGUGGGGUAAAGGCUCACCUAGGCGACGCUCCCUAGCCGGUCGGAGAGGCUGACCGGCCACACUGGCACUGAGACACGGUCCAGACUCCUACGGGAGGCAGCAGUGGGGAAUAUUGCACAAUGGGCGAAAGCCUGACGGAGCAAUGCCGCGUGUGUGAAGAAGGCUUUCGGGUCGUAAAGUACUUUUAGCAGGGAAGCGGUACCCACACAAGAAGCAACGGCUAACUCCGUGCCAGCAGCCGCGGUAAUAC
rnacentral:rRNA from 1 species